rnacentral:rRNA from 1 species
UACGUAGGCAGCGAGCGUUGUUCGGAGUUACUGGGCGUAAAGGGUGUGUAGGCGGUUCUUUAAGUUUGGUGUGAAAUCUCCCGGCUCAACCGGGAGGGUGCGCCGAAUACUGAGGGACUAGGGUGCGGGAGAGGAAGGUGGAAUUCCUGGUGUAGCGGUGAAAUGCGUAGAUAUCAGGAGGAACACCGGUGGUGUAGACGGCUUUCUGGACCGUAACUGACGCUGAGACACGAAAGCGUGGGUAGCAAACAGG